AGAGUUUGAUCAUAGCUCAGGAUGAACGCUAGCGGUGCGCCUAACACAUGCAAGUCGAGCGAUGAAGUUUUCUACACAGAGCAGAAAAACAAUAUACCUUUUCUCUUCUCUGUGUAGAAAAUAGAUUAGCGGCAAACGGGUGCGUAACACGUUGAUACUUCCCCCUAAGUCAGGGAUAGCCUGGAGAAAUCCAGAUUAAUACCGGAUAGUCCCGAAAGGGUAAAGCAGCAAUGCGCUCAGGGAAAGGUCUGCGGCCUAUCAGCUAGUUGGUGAGGUAAUAGCUCACCAAGGCAAUGACGGGUAGCUGGUCUGAGAGGACGGCCAGCCACAAUGGGACUGAGACACGGCCCAUACUCCUACGGGAGGCAGCAGUGAGGAAUCUUCCACAAUGGGCGAAAGCCUGAUGGAGCGACACCGCGUGAAGGAAGAAGGCCUAACGGUUGUAAACUUCUUUUCUGAAGGAGCAUAAUGAGAGUACUUUAGGAAUAAGGGACGGCUAAAUACGUGCCAGCAGCCGCGGUAAUACGUAUGUCUCGAGCGUUACCCGGAAUAACUGGGUGUAAAGGGUUUGUAGGUUGAUGGUUAAGUCAGAUAUGAAAGACCGAAGCUUAACUUCGAGUUAGUAUUUGAAACUGGCUAUCUAGAAUCAGGGAGAGGUAAGCGGAAUUCUAAGUGUAGGGGUGCAAUCCGUAGAUACUUAGAGGAACACCAAAAGCGAAGGCAGCUUACUGGAACUGAAUUGACACUGAAAAACGAAAGCGUGGGGAGCGAAAAGGAUUAGAUACCCUUGUAGUCCACGCCCUAAACGAUGACAACUAAGUGUUGCGACUAGCUCGCAGUGCUGUAGCAAACGCGUUAAGUUGUCCACCUGAGGAGUACGGUCGCAAGAUUAAAACUCAAAGGAAUAGACGGGGACCCACACAAGCAGUGGAUCACGUGGUUUAAUUCGAUAAUAAACGGGGAACCUUACCCAGACUUGACAUCCUAGGAAUGCACCAGAGAUGGAGCAGUGCUCGCAAGAGAACCUAGAGACAGGUGCUGCAUGGUUGUCGUCAGCUCGUGCCUUGAGGUGUUCGGUUAAGUCCGUUAACGAGCGCAACCCACGUCGUUAGUUACUAUGUCUAACGAGACUGCUUGAGUUAAUCAAGAGGAAGGUGUGGAUGACGUCAAAUCAGCAUGGCCCUUAUGCCUAGGGCUACACACAUGAUACAAUGGUCGGUACAAACAGUCGCAAUACAGCAAUGUGGAGCCAAUCUGAAAAAGCCGAUCUCAGUCCAGAUUGGGGGCUGCAACUCGCCCCCAUGAAGUUGGAAUUGCUAGUAAUCGUAAAUCAGCUAUGUUACGGUGAAUCUGUUCCCGGGUCUUGUACUCACCGCCCGUCAAACCAUGGGAGGUGUGCGUACCUUAAGCCCUUCGAGCAAUACGGAGGUCCACGGUAAACACACUGACUGGGGUUAAGUCGUAACAAGGUAUCCGUACGUG
rnacentral:rRNA from 1 species